rnacentral:lncRNA from 1 species
AUGUGCAAGCAAAAGAAUGUGAAUGUAUUUUGAAAAGGCAAAUGUAAUUGAGAGCGAACUUGUAUUUUGAGGAAUUCAUGUGUUAUGUAAAGUGAAAAAGUGUAUGUAAAAUGUGAAUGUCCAAUGUUGUAAUAGUUCGGUUUACAUCUCACUCUUAUGAUAUAUUCUUAUGCAAAACUAUAUUAUAUUAUUUUUUCUGUGUGAAAUUCAAUGUACUUGUUUUGUUUACGUCUUGGGCGGAUAGAAAAAAUUCUAUUUGUUCGGCAGUCUGUGUACGUG